rnacentral:rRNA from 1 species
CCUGCCCAGUGACUCUGUUCAACGGCCGCGGUAUCCUAACCGUGCGAAGGUAGCGUAAUCACUUGUUCUUUAAAUGAGGACUAGUAUGAAUGGCACCACGAGGGUUACACUGUCUCCUUUUUCCAAUCAGUGAAACUAAUCUCCCCGUGAAGAAGCGGAGAUAAACAUAUAAGACGAGAAGACCCUAUGGAGCUUUAAACUCAAUAACACUUGCCUUUAAACAUCAACACUUCAGAGUAAUAAACAUUUACUAUGGCCUCCUGAUUAUUAGUUUUAGGUUGGGGUGACCGCGGAGUAAAAAAUAACCUCCACAUUGAAUGGGGAAUACCCCCUGAGCCGUGAGCUACAACUCUAUGCACCAAUAAAUCGACAUCUAUUGACCCAAUAAAUUGAUCAACGAACCAAGUUACCCUAGGGAUAACAGCGCAAUCCGCCUCAAGAGCCCCUAUCGACAGGCGGGUUUACGACCUCGAUGUUGGAUCAGGGUAUCCCAGUGGUGCAGCCGCUACUAAAGGUUCGUUUGUUCAACGAUUAAAACCCU